GAAUGUGGUAUAGUGAGAAAAACUUGAUUUGUUAUCUUUAAGGCCACCUUAGAGUAGACAGAGAGGGGCCUGUGUACUUUGCCUCAUUACACAUAUUCAGAACUCACAUACUAAAUAGUUCAAAUUGAGAGAGUUGUAAUUAUCCUGAAUCUGGAUUGUUUAUGGAAGUGUAGGUUAUUGAUAGUAUGGUUUGUUAAACAUAUCUUUGUUUAGACAUAUUAGGUUGCAGAAAGACUAAAUAAUUGAUUUAGGCGGAAGGAUAUUAAGAGAGUGAUUAGGCAGUUUGGGAAGAACUUUCUUGUGUCUACAGAAAGUUUAGUGCAUUGUUCAACCAACUCAGUGAGGAGAGCUGAUUGGCAAUCAGAGUUUCGCAGUAGAGUAUUCAGAAUAUUUCAUGUUUCUGUCGAGGUAUGUUAAUUGAUUUUUGUUAUAGUGUAGAAUAAGGACUAUAGUCAUGUUAUUAUUGAUAUUGAGUAGAAAGAAUGAAGGAAAAUGAAGUAUUAAUAGUGAAGGGAUCGCAUCACUGGUUAGAGGUCAUGAGCACAUACAGUGUAUGGCCUAGUACAUGAUACACAAUGUACACACGUGUAGUUCGUUGUGCAUGAAUGACCAUGCGUCAUCUCGUUGUAGUGGCUUUGUAAACGAUGUAAGGCAGAGAAUCUUAUGUUUAUUAUAAUGUUGAUGAGUGUAAAUACACAUUUAAUGUACUUGUAUAGCUAAGUGUUAUUUAGUUAUGGUAUUGAAUACUGUAGCUUGAGUAUAGUGCACUGAGUGAAGUUUGGAGGGAUUUGAUUAGAUAGAAAUGUUUGGGUAAAAGUCAGUUAAGACUGUGUUGUGCUGUGUAAGCAAUAUUCUCAAAUAAGAGGGGGUACUCCAUUGUAAACAAAUAAGAUGGCAGCCUCCAUGGGAAGGGUUUAUGGUGCAGUUAGUUAAAAAUAGGAGUCUACUUAUUUCAGUAGAUUGGUGUUGGUGCUUGAUAUAAAUUAUAUCAUACUAUUAUUAGAGAGUAGAGUUUAUUAGGAGUUGGUGUAUUAUUCAUUUAAUUGAUAGGAGUUCCUUUCGUGGAUGGAGCUAGAGGUUCAACAGUUGUCGAGGUGUCGCUGAUUGACCACGUUUCUGAUUGAGAAAUAGUUCUGAUGCUUGUUGGAGAUUCCAGCGUUUGAGUUGAAGAAGCUGGUUCCAUUGUUGUCGUCGUAGCAACAAGUAGUUGUUUAGCAGUCCUAGUUGGGUGAGUCAGGAUGGUAGAGCGUGAUAGAUAGUUUUGAACACGAACACUGCUUGUUAUAUUACUUCUGUUUCAGGUGUUGAUAAUGAUGUGUUAUAACGAAUUGUAGAUAGGCAGUCAAUGUACAUUAAUUAGACAUUAAUUAGAAUGAAUAUCCAUGACUAUGCAUAUUUCAGGGGAUUAUUCUGAUGUUAAUCUUUAAUAGAGUUGAUGCUUUCAUAUUUUGGUGACCUGUAUUCAUACUUUCAGUGAAGAAAUUAGUUCGUCAUAUUUCACACCAAAUAGUUAGAGGGAAUAUUUUGGAAUGAUAAGAAAUACAUUUUCUUCUUUUACAUUGAAUUACUCACUCGAUGAAUAUUGAAGUAUCAUUGACUUGGUGUUAAAGUGAUGUACAUUAUUGUUGACUCUAAAUUGUUGCAUGAAGAGAUUUUGAACAUGUAGUUACUGAUGUUCUUUCUUUCGUUGUUUCUUUUCUGCCUUUGCAGAGGUUUUUCUUCUUGUAUCACACUUUAUGCAGAUAGCUCAAGUGGGAAAUAAAAUCCCGCUCAUAUCCUA